rnacentral:rRNA from 1 species
CCUACGGGAGGCAGCAGUGAGGAAUAUUGGUCAAUGGCCGGAAGGCUGAACCAGCCAAGCCGCGUGAAGGACGAAGGUGCCAAGCAUUGUAAACUUCUUUUGUCAAGGGACAAAAUCAGGCUCGAGAGCCUGACCGAGGGUACUUGAAGAAAAAGCAUCGGCUAACUCCGUGCCAGCAGCCGCGGUAAUAGGGAGGAUGCGAGGGUUAUCCGGAUUUAUUGGGUUUAAAGGGUGCGUAGGCGGGCUGUUAAGUCAGCGGGAAAAGCCCGGGGCUCAACCCCGGCGAGCCGUUGAAACUGGCUGUCUUGAGAUGUCGAGAGGUAUGCGGAAUGCGCAGUGUAGCGGUGAAAUGCUUAGAUAUUGCGCAGAACUCCGAUUGCGAAGGCAGCAUACCGGCGGCGAUCUGACGCUGAGGCACGAAAGCGUGGGUAUCGAACAGGAUUAGAUACCCUAGUAGUC